CCUACGGGAGGCAGCAGUAAGGAAUAUUGGUCAAUGGGCGAAAGCCUGAACCAGCCAUGCCGCGUGCAGGAAGACGGCCUACGGGUUGUAAACUGCUUUUGCAGGGGAAUAUGUACCUUGAGAAUAAGGAUCGGCUAACUCCGUGCCAGCAGCCGCGGUAAUACGGAGGAUCCGAGCGUUAUCCGGAUUUAUUGGGUUUAAAGGGUGCGUAGGCGGCCUGGUAAGUCAGGGGUGAAAGACGGUAGCUUAACUAUCGCAGUGCCUUUGAUACUGCCGGGCUUGAAUGUACUUGAAGUGGGCGGAAUGUGACAAGUAGCGGUGAAAUGCAUAGAUAUGUCACAGAACACCGAUUGCGAAGGCAGCUCACUAAGUUGAUUGACGCUGAGGCACGAAAGCGUGGGGAUCAAACAGGAUUAGAUACCCUUGUAGUC
rnacentral:rRNA from 1 species